rnacentral:tRNA from 3 species
GGCUCCGUAGCUCAGUGGAUAGAGCGUCGGUUUCCUAAACCGUGCGUCGCAGGUUCAAUUCCUGCCGGGGCCG